rnacentral:rRNA from 1 species
UCCAGAGCCAUGUCUCCCUGCAGGUCUCGCCUGGCGUCCCACCGAAGCUAAGCAGCGUUGAGCCUGGCCGCUACCUGGAUGGGAGACCUAUUGGGGAGAACUAUGGUUGCUGCUGGAA